CUUUGCUACCUUCAAGGACCUUCUCCCAAACUGCUAAUUUUUCUUCAUCCGUUAAAGGUCUAUUGAUUCACAUUACUUGCUGGCAGUGUGUGAAGUCAACGAACAAGACUGAGUCUUUGCCCUUGAGACGCGUACACUCUACCCAGAGACAAGUUCUAAGCACAGGAAACAAGUAAUUUUAUAAGAACAUCACAGGGCAGUUAUUCUCCAGGUGAAUUCGGAUUAAAGAGGACACUUGAGCCGGAUUUGGAGGAAGAGAGCCAUGGUUUGGAAUAGAACAUGAACGAGUGCAGAGGAGUGGAAAUUACCACAGUUUGUUCUGAAGACUGGAUACAGCGGCACCUUCCUGGAG
rnacentral:lncRNA from 1 species